CACGGGGGGAGCAAGCGUUGUUCGGAAUCACUGGGCGUAAAGGGUGUCUAGGCGGUCAGGUAAGUGAGAUGUGAAAUGCCCCGGCUUACCCGGGGACCUGCAUCUCAUACUGUCUGGCUUGAGUAUGGGAGAGGAUGAGGGAAUUCCUGGUGUAGCGGUGAAAUGCGUAGAUAUCAGGAGGAACACCGGUGGCGAAAGCGCUCAUCUGGCCCAAAUACUGACGCUGAAGCACGAAAGCUAGGGAGCAAACGGG
rnacentral:rRNA from 1 species